GGAAUUGUUCACAAUGGGCGCAAGCCUGAUGACGCAACGCCGCGUGGGGGAUGAAGGUCUUCGGAUUGUAAACCCCUGUCGAACGGGACGAAAGACUCGGGAGCUAAUCAUCUCGAGAGUGACGGUACCGUUAAAGGAAGCCACGGCUAACUCUGUGCCAGCAGCCGCGGUAAUACAGAGGUGGCAAGCGUUGUUCGGAAUUACUGGGCGUAAAGGGCGCGUAGGCGGCCUUCUAAGUCAGACGUGAAAUCCCCCGGCUUAACCUGGGAACUGCGUCUGAUACUGGAAGGCUUGAGUAUGGGAGAGGGAUGUAGAAUUCCAGGUGUAGCGGUGAAAUGCGUAGAUAUCUGGAGGAAUACCGGUGGCGAAGGCGGCAUCCUGGACCAUUACUGACGCUGAGGCGCGAAAGCUAGGGGAGCAAACGGGAUUAGAUACCCCGGUAGUCCUAGCCCUAAACGAUGAAUGCUUGGUGUGGCGGGUAUCGACCCCUGCCGUGCCGAAGCUAACGCAUUAAGCAUUCCGCCUGGGGAGUACGGUCGCAAGGCUG
rnacentral:rRNA from 1 species